GGACAUUCUUACAUAAAUGGGCUGGUCAUCCUUUAGCUAAUGGAAGUUUAUAACCAGAUGUCAGAUGUUCACAUGUUCCUACUGAAUGUUUACCUGAACUCAAAAUAGUCUGUCUCUGUGCUCCACUCUUCUGCUGCUUAUGCCUGUUUCCACAUGGUCCCUAUUCUGGGCCUGGCUACUGGCUUCUGCACUUCGGUACAAAAUGACCAUUGUCACUCUCCAGGUUGCAGGCGCCCCACUGGUUACUGCAACGACCACUGCAGUGUCUUCAGUCCUGCUGGCCCCAAGUGUUUUCCAGCAGACAGUUACAAGAUCUUCGGACCUUGAGAGGAAAGCCAGCUCCCCUUCUCCUCUAACUAUUGGAACGCCAGAAAGUCAGAGAAAGCCUUCCAUUAUUCUCAGCAAGUCUCAGCUCCAGGAUACAUUAAUACAUCUAAUAAAGAAUGAUUCCAGCUUCCUCAGUACACUUCAUGAAGUCUACUUGCAGGUUCUGACCAAGAACAAAGACAACCACAACCUAUGACUGGAGCAGAAUAAGUCUAAAGGCAGAGCCCCAGCCUCAGAGACAAAUAGGCUUCAUCAUGGAAACUUCUGAGCAGAACAUUGAGUUUGAGAAUCCUGAAAUUGAGCCUAUGAGAAAGAGACUCAUUUCUUAAGAAUGUUUUCCAAGUGACAUUCUCAGUGAUAAUGGAGGUUUCACUGUGAAGCAUCACCAGCAGAUCCUUGUUUUGACAAAAAAAAAAAAAAAAAAAAAAAAAAAGAGAGCGAUCAUUGUGUUAAGUUAUGUGGGUGUUUUCAUCAGCUAGGAGCAAGGCUGUGGAAUAAGGAGUCAGAUUCUCAGCUUGCUUUCACUUUCAAGGACUUACAGAGGAGUAGUCACCAGCCUCACAGCAGAAGUUCAGCCCGGCCCCCACCGCUUCCCCCAGCCUACCCCAUAGAAACGGGCUUUGGGCUGACAAGUCAAGUUUUGAACAGAGUAGAAGGCAGCUCUGCAAAGUAGCUUCUAGUUUUUAGGACCAGAAUUUAAGCCGGCAAAUUAGGAAUUAUUUCCUCAAGUGAAGUAUAUUUUAUAUGAAUGCCCCAUUUGGGCCUUAAAAGUUGUGAAAUUUCUUAAUAGCAUUUUGUUUUUAAGUGCCCCAGUCCUGCCCUGCAGCAGGCCCCCAGUGCAGCAUUACCAUUUGAAUAGGGCACUGUCAGGCUCUGGUGGUGUGGACACAGGCAUGUCAUACCUUUGAAGGAAAGGCUGGGGCUGGGAAUGCCCACAUCCUAUCAAAUCUUCAUUUUAGGUUAAACUCUCCAUUGGUUCUGAAAAUGCUAAGUUUGUGUGUGAAGCACAGCCUUAUUUUCCUUUUCUGUCAUUGUUGAUUGUUUUCCUUAACACUUUGACAAAAGGACCAGUGGACCAAUCUGACAAAGCCAUUCUGGUUCCUUUCCUUGAGUGUACUGAGAAUAGUUUUAAAGCUAUGCAGAAAAGGGAGCUGUUAUUCACACUGCCCUUAUUUUGUUGUAGAAUUAUGGAGUUAAAAGAAAAUGUGAUUCCGAACUCUACCAAUGUAUUCCUAGGCUGUGAGUACUUUCCCGGCCCAAAGUGUGAAAAUAUGUAAAGAAGCUUUGUUAUGCUGCUAUUGAUCUGCCAUGAUUUCUAUUUAUUCUUUUAUGGCAUGUAAUGG
rnacentral:lncRNA from 1 species